AGGGGACUCCGAGUGCGAGGGCAUACAGUCCUCGCUUUUCUGUACCGUAGGGAGGUACAGGAACAAGUGCUGGGCAAGACCGGUGCCAGCCGCCGCGGUAAUACCGGCAGCACGAGUGAUGGCCGAUAUUAUUGGGCCUAAAGCGUCCGUAGCCGGCCGGACAAGUCCGUUGGGAAAUCGACGCGCCUAACGCGUCGGCGUCCAGCGGAAACUGUCCGGCUUGGGGCCGGAAGACUCGAGGGGUACGUCCGGGGUAGGAGUGAAAUCCCGUAAUCCUGGACGGACCGCCGGUGGCGAAAGCGCCUCGGGAGGACGGACCCGACGGUGAGGGACGAAAGCCAGGGUCUCGAACCGGAUUAGAUACCCGGGUAGUCCUGGCCGUAAACGAUGUCCGCUAGGUGUGGCGCAGGCUACGAGCCUGCGCUGUGCCGUAGGGAAGCCGUGAAGCGGACCGCCUGGGAAGUACGUCUGCAAGGAUGAAACUUAAAGGAAUUGGCGGG
rnacentral:rRNA from 1 species